GACGAACGCUGGCGGCGUGCUUAACACAUGCAAGUCGAACGGAAAGGCCCUGCUUUUGUGGGGUGCUCGAGUGGCGAACGGGUGAGUAACACGUGAGUAACCUGCCCUUGACUUUGGGAUAACUUCAGGAAACUGGGGCUAAUACCGGAUAGGAGCUCCUGCUGCAUGGUGGGGGUUGGAAAGUUUCGGCGGUUGGGGAUGGACUCGCGGCUUAUCAGCUUGUGGGUGGGGUAGUGGCUUCCCAAGGCUGUGACGGGUAGCGGGCCUGAGAGGGUGCCCGCCCACAUUGGGCCUGGGAUACGCCCCAGACUCCUACGGGAGGCAGCAGUGGGGAAUAUUGCACAAUGGGCGGAAGCCGGAUGCAGCAACGCCGCGUGCGGGAUGACGGCCUUCGGGUUGUAAACCGCUUUCGCCUGUGACGAAGCGUGAGUGACGGUAAUGGGUAAAGAAGCACCGGCUAACUACGUG
rnacentral:rRNA from 1 species